rnacentral:rRNA from 1 species
GACGAACGCUGGCGGCGUGCUUAACACAUGCAAGUCGAACGGAAAGGCCCCUUUGGGGGUACUCGAGUGGCGAACGGGUGAGUAACACGUGAGUAACCUGCCCUUGACUUCGGGAUAACUUCAGGAAACUGGGGCUAAUACCGGAUAGGAAUCCUUGCUGCAUGGUGGGGGUUGGAAAGCUUCGGCGGUUUUGGAUGGACUCGCGGCUUAUCAGCUUGUUGGUGGGGUAGUGGCUUACCAAGGCUUUGACGGGUAGCCGGCCUGAGAGGGCGACCGGUCACAUUGGGACUGAGAGACGGCCCAGACGCCUACGGGAGGCAGCAGGGGGGAAUAUUGCACAAUGGGCGGAAGCCUGAUGCAGCAACGCCGCGUGCGGGAUGACGGCCUUCGGGUUGGAAACCGCUUUCAGCAGGGGUGAAGCUUGUGGUGACGGUACCUGCAGAAGAAGCACCGGCUAACUACGUG